AGAGAGAGACAUGCGCGCAUAUCAAUAAGCGGAGGAAAAGAAACUAACAAGGAUUCCCUUAGUAACGGCGAGUGAAGCGGGAAGAGCUCAAAUUUGAAAUCUUCAAGGUUUUACCUUGACGAAUUGUAGUUUAAAGAAGUGUUUUCUGCUGAAGUUUUGGUAAAAGUUCUUUGGAAUAGGACAUCAUAGAGGGUGAGAAUCCCGUAUUUGACCAUUAUUUUCAGCUUUGUGAUACACUUUCAAAGAGUCGGAUUGUUUGGGAAUGCAGUCCAAAAUGGGUGGUAAAUUUCAUCUAAAGCUAAAUAUUGGCGAGAGACCGAUAGCGAACAAGUACCGUGAGGGAAAGAUGAAAAGAACUUUGAAAAGAGAGUUAAACAGUACGUGAAAUUGUCAAAAGGGAAGCGUUUGACACCAGUGUUGUUUUCUCGAAAAUCAAUUAAAAAUGGCUCGAUUUUGUAUUGCUUGAGACCUUAAAAGCUCACUGUACAUUUUUCGUGUCUUUUUUAAUGCACUUUUCGUUUAACAAGUCAACAUCAGUUUCUUUUGUUGUAAAAGGGUCAUUGGAAGGUGGCUUUCUUUUCGGAGAAAGUGUUUAUAGCCUUUGGCCUCUGCAAUCGAAGAGACUGAGGUCUGCAGCGUAGACUCUUCGGGGUUAGAUACAUUUGUGCUAAGUUAUAGCUUUUUAUAGACAACCUGUUGACUAUAAUUAGUCUUGUAGCUUACUCGCUUAUGCUAUUUUACCUACGCUUAGGAUGUUGAAGAUGUAGCACAUCAU
rnacentral:rRNA from 1 species